rnacentral:snRNA from 1 species
AUGCUUUGGUGGCCCAUAUACUAAAAUUGUACUGAUAUAGAGAAAAGCAUGGCCUCUGCAAGAGGAUGACACACAAAUUCAUGAAGCAUUCCAUAUUUUU